UACAGAGACUGCAAGCGUUGUUCGGAUUUAUUGGGCGUAAAGGGUGCGUAGGUGGUCGGGUAAGUCUGAUGUGAAAUCUCGGAGCUCAACUCCGAAACGGCAUUGGAUACUAUUCGGCUUGAGGGUUGGAGGGGGGACUGGAAUUCUCGGUGUAGCAGUGAAAUGCGUAGGUAUCGAGAGGAACACCAGUGGCGAAGGCGAGUCCCUGGACAACUCCUGACACUAAGGCACGAAAGUUAGGGGAGCAAACAGG
rnacentral:rRNA from 1 species